rnacentral:rRNA from 1 species
GACGAACGCUGGCGGCGUGCUUAACACAUGCAAGUGGAGCGACGAACCGACCUUCGGGUCGGGGCAGAGCCGCGAACGGGUGAGUAACACGUGGGUAACCUACCCCGAUGACCGGGACAACCCGAGGAAACUCGGGCUAAUACCGGAUGAGCUCUUAUUCUUUGAGGAGUAAGAGGAAAGAUAGCUUCGGCCUUCGCAUCGGGACGGGCCCGCGGCCCAUUAGCUUGUUGGUGGGGUAAUGGCCUACCAAGGCUUCGAUGGGUAGCUGGUCUGAGAGGACGAUCAGCCACACUGGGACUGAUAGACGGCCCAGACUCCUACGGGAGGCAGCAGUGGGGAAUCUUGCACAAUGCGCGAAAGCGUGAUGCAGCAACGCCGCGUGGGGGAAGACGGCCUUCGGGUUGUAAACCCCUUUCAGUUGGGACGAAGCUUCGCCGGUGAAUAGCCGGCUGGAGUGACGGUACCUUCACAAGAAGCCCCGGCUAACUACGUGCCAGCAGCCGCGGUAAUACGUAGGGGGCAAGCGUUGUCCGGAAUCAUUGGGGCUAAAGCGCGUGUAGGCGGCCCGGUAAGGUCCGCUGUGAAAGUCGGGGGCUCAACCCUCGAAUGCCGGUGGAUACUGUCGGGCUAGAGUGCGGGAGAGGCGAGUGGAAUUCCUGGUGUAGCGGUGAAAUGCGCACAUAUCAGGAGGAACACCAAUUGCGAAGGCAGCUCGCUGGAACGUAACUGACGCUGAGACGCGAAAGCGUGGGGAGCAAACAGGAUUAGAUACCCUGGUAGUCCACGCUGUAAACGAUGGGCACUAGGUGUGGGGGGUGUAGACUCCCUCCGUGCCGAAGCUAACGCAUUAAGUGCCCCGCCUGGGGAGUACGGCCGCAAGGCUAAAACUCAAAGGAAUUGACGG